rnacentral:rRNA from 1 species
UACGUAGGGACCGAGCGUUGUCCGGAUUCAUUGGGCGUAAAGAGCUCGUAGGCGGCUGCUCAAGUCGAAUGUGAAAACUCGAGGCUCAACCUCGAGCCUGCAUUCGAUACUGGGCGGCUAGAGUCUGGUAGGGGGAUCUGGAAUUCCUGGUGUAGCGGUGGAAUGCGCAGAGUAUCAGGAGGAACACCUGCGGUGUAGACGGCUUACUGGACCAUAACUGACGCUGAGGCACGAAAGCGUGGGUAGCAAACAGG